AACAUAUAUUAUGUGUUGUAGGUGGAACUAGACCUAACAGGUGGAGAGUUAGAAGGUCCUGACACUGAAUGGUUUGAUGAAGAUUAUGGUCUUAGUAAUACCAGACGAGAGGCAGAAGAAUUGCGGCUACAGCAGCUACAAAUUGAACAAGAGAUUCAAGAACUAGAACAAGCACAGGAACAAGUGCCGUAUUUCUACAUCCGAGAGAUCCCGAACAAACCGCCUCCCCCCUACACACCACCAGGACAGACCACCAGAAGUUCUGUAGUUCCAUGCAAGCUAGACCUGACAAGUGAAGAAGCCCAUUUCAUUCCAUUUACAGCUGAAGGAAUCACAGUCCUCACUGUGACAAUGACCAGUUACUUAUAUAAUUUGCAGGAAACUGUUGGCAAUGUAGAAAAUGCAGAAUUGCCACCUGAGCUUUGUGAAGAUAAUAACAGUACUGAUUUUAAUGACAUU